AUAACGACUCUCGGCAACGGAUAUCUAGGCUCUCGCAUCGAUGAAGAACGUANCGAAAUGCGAUACUUGGUGUGAAUUGCAGAAUCCCGUGAACCAUCGAGUUUUUGAACGCAAGUUGCGCCCGAAGCCAUUUGGCCGAGGGCACGUCUGCCUGGGCGUCACGC
rnacentral:rRNA from 1 species